UCAUUCCAGGAAGUGCCAUGCUCCCACAGCCAGGUAACUCACUGUGUGGCUCCAGCCAUCACACCAGUGGAGGACAUUAACAAGUAAAAAAGGGACGAGGAGACCCCGAGCGGGCAGCUGAGUCCCAGAGGAUCCAGUUAGCCAGACAGGCUAACUCUCCUCCUGCUAAUCCCCUGGAAAGGUGCCUCACCCAAGGGGCCAGCGGUCCCAAAGAGCCCCUCGUCUCUGGAGCUUUGAACAGGUUCCCUGAGGGUCUUUUGCUGGCCUCAGAGACACAACCUACAAUCCUCAGAGAUCCUCAGGAUGAGCCAGGGAAAUGCUGCACCAAGAAGAUCCUCUGCACAGUGUAUCAGCUGGAGUCUUGGAUGUCCACAGCAGGAGGGCGUCUAUGGCAG